rnacentral:misc_RNA from 1 species
AACGGUCUAUACCUGCGGUACCUGCGGAAGGAUCAUUACCGAGUUUUCAACUCCCUAACCCUUCUGUGAACCUACCUAUCGUUGCUUCGGCGGACUCGCCCCAGCCCGGACGCGGACUGGACCAGCGGCCCGCCGGGGACCUCAAACUCUUGUAUUCCAGCAUCUUCUGAAUACGCCGCAAGGCAAAACAAAUGAAUCAAAACUUUCAACAAUGGAUCUCU